rnacentral:rRNA from 1 species
ACGGGAGGCAGCAGUGGGGGAUAUUGCACAAUGGGGGAAACCCUGAUGCAGCGACGCCGCGUGAGUGAAGAAGUAUUUCGGUAUGUAAAGCUCUAUCAGCAGGAAAGAUAAUGACGGUACCUGACUAAGAAGCACCGGCUAAAUACGUGCCAGCAGCCGCGGUAGUACGUAUGGUGCAAGCGUUAUCCGGAUUUACUGGGUGUAAAGGGAGCGUAGACCGUAUGGCAAGCCAGAUGUGAAAUCCCGGGGCUCAACCCCGGAACUGCUUUGGAAACUGUUUAACUAGAGUGCAGGAGAGGUAAGCGGAAUUCCUAGUGUAGCGGUGAAAUGCGUAGAUAUUAGGAGGAACACCAGUGGCGAAGGCGGCUUACUGGACUGUAACUGACGUUGAGGCUCGAAAGCGUGGGGAGCAAACAGGAUUAGAUACCCUGGUA